AUUCAACUGUCAUGUGAAAAUUUAACUUUUAUUUUGAUAAAAAUGCAGAAGCGUUCUUCAAUCUUACCUACCUUUACUUAAAAUGCAAUUUUCACAAAACUCGUAUAUUUCUGAACUUGCAACUGAUAGCUCCACUGAUUAUAGCCAGCCAAUAGCGUGUAGACUUGCUGUCUCAUCACUCGUGACGUCAUCAAGUCUAUAAAAGCUUGUGCUGCCCGUUUCUCAUGGUCCUUUACCACCUUGACCCGUACAUGUACGUAUGUGCCCUCUCUAACCCUUCAGGCACAAGUGUGACUUUUCCAUCGACUGUAACUCUAUUCCAAAUUCGUACUAAUGCAAUCUUUCGGUCCAAUCAAAUAUCUUGUUAAAUUUCUUGCUCUCCCACAAUUCUUGCUAUUUCUACACUGAAAAAAAAGUAGCUUGGAUCAAGCAUGGUGAUUCUUGAAUUUGCCACCAAGAAUUUUUUUUAUCUUGCUUUAAGCUGACUUUUUCUUGAUACAAGAAAAAUGAUGCUUGGAUUAAGCAAAAAAGUAGCUUAUAUUAACCAGAAAAAUUUUUGAUUUAAGAAGAAAUACUUCUUGGCGGCAAAUUUAAGAUUCCUUUUUUUCCAGUGUAGUACGCGUAUGAAGGAUAUUUAAAUGUUUCAGUCCGUCUAAACCACAGUUCAACCCUUCAUUGCGACAGUUUGUAACAGUGGUUGGAUGGAUCGGAGCUUUGCACAGAGCCGCCCUAAGAGAGUUGCGCUCUAAUAGGACUAGAGAGAUAAAGCUCUUUCUUUUUCUAUCGGAUAUUGAAUACAGUCUUUGGCCAAUUUUAUAUGCAUGUUUAUGGCGACGGGAGUUAUGACUAUUUCGAUGGCAGAACUUAUAAACGAGAAUUUAAAUCGGAUAUUGAAAAUUCAGUGCAACUUACGCGAUAGAUCAAUUUACUGAUGUAUUUGCGCUGCGUUUUCAAGAAAGGAAGAACGAGGCAAUUUUGAAAAUGAUGCCAGACAAGCAAAUCAAACAUUUUCAGCACGGAUUACAGACGAACAAAUCAGAAACAAUAAACUGUCCGAUCAAGGUGGUGGUGAGUAGCACCUUAAUCUUAGAUUGGCAUUGUCAACAGGUGCAGAUCCUUCAUGGUAAUAAUCGGAGUGAAGGCUGGAGAUUGGCACUCGUCAAGAGGAUGUGGACGUGGUACGGGGAAGCCGCAAAGGCUCCUCUCGGGUCGGGCCGGGUCAAGGCGGAGCAGCGCAAGAAACCAAUUAUCUUAAAAGCAAAAAGACGAAUUCGCGGAUAUCACUGCGGAGGAUCAAACAGUCGAUUACUCGACGGAAAUUCAAACUUGGGGCCGGCAGGCGUUUGACGAGGGACCUGAAACAACCGAACUAACGUACAUGUCCCCGCUAUCUCGUAAUUAGUGCUUCUGUUCGGCAAUUAUUUGCCAAGACCCGGCCGAUGCACGCCGCGAUGCAAAUUUCGCAUGCAGAAAUAUGAUAAACGUAGAUUAUUGACUCCAAAACAAUAUUUGCCCGGUUCCGGUUAUCCAUUUCAUGUUAACAACUGUUUACCUCCGGUCUCUGCACCGCGGGUUUGCUCAAAGAACGUUUGCUUGCAUUUGAUAAAUCGUAGUUUCAUUGUCAAACGUAAUAUGCCGAGCAUCUCACCCGUAAGUGUACAUAUGUGAAAAUUGGGGAGGGAGAAACAACGUAAGUGGCGGAUGCUCACAUGUGACCUGGAUUCUGCAUUGAUGGGGGAGUCCAAAUGCUCAUCAGUUGGCUGAGUUUACGUUGUUAUUCAUCGACUUUCCACGGUGUUUAUUCGCCCCAUGCCAGCCGACUCAUUGACUUCCAAAGGCCUCUUGUUUGAUUAACUGACUGCGAUCAUUAAUGGGCGAGAGGUGAGCGAGUGGUACCGUACUUAACUCAAAGCUUCGAGUAUCGGUUGCCAAUCGGUUCUUUUCAAUCCGAGAGGCGGUCGUAGUUCGCUCCCCAUUUCCUCGAUAUUAAUCAAUGCGUCCUAUAUUUUGGAAUGUCCGGUCGACUCAACUUCCUGCUCAUUUUUAUUAAUGAGAUAUUAAUGACUAGUUACAUGCCAAGAGCAGUAUCUUGAAUAAUUUAGGCAGCUGCGAUAUUUCUGCUACAGCACAACGAGAUCUGACGGAUCAGACGGAUGCGAUUUGCAGGGAAAAUAUUCAACAGAAUCAAUGCGAAUAUUUCCCUCACACAUUUUAACACACCUUAAUGUUCAACUAAUACUUUGAUAUGAAUUUCCCAGAGAUGGUUGUGUGCCUCACCAGCAAAGAUGCCGUUCGUAUCAACCAUCGCCGAUGACGGCAACAGCCAGAAUUUUUUGUCAAUAACUCAUGGAAAAUAAAAUAGUCUGAAAUAAAGUAUUACCAUACCAGGUAAAUGCACUUAAUCGCGAACAUGUUAUUUCAUUUGUCGAAAAAAAUU
rnacentral:lncRNA from 1 species